AUUUGAAAGUUGACCGGAAACAAUGAUGACCGAGAGGAAAACAGUGUGCCUCUCUUAGCCCGUCAGUGGUUUAUUUAAAUUAAAAAGGAUAUUAUAUCUACUUGCAUGGCACUCUGUUUAUUUGUUAUUAAGAAGCCAUGUUGAAGUUCAAAUACGUCAGUCAUGGAAGCCUGAAAACGCUGCCUUCCUCUGUGGACCCCAUCGCCAGCCGAAGCUCGCGACUCAACCAGGUGUUUCAGGGCCGAGCCAGCCUGUGUGGGCAGCAGGGAGGAUGUACUUUGGGUCGAGAAGAGUUUCUGG